GACGAACGCUGGCGGCGUGCUUAACACAUGCAAGUCGAACGAAGUGGCGAACGGGUGAGUAACGCGUAAUCAACCUGCCCUUCAGAGGGGGACAACAGUUGGAAACGACUGCUAAUACCGCAUACUGAAGGAGGGGAGUGCGUCUGAUUAGCUAGUUGGAGGGGUAAGGGCACACCAAGGUGAUGAUCAGUAGCCGGUCUGGAUGGAUGGACGGCCACAUUGGUACGGGGACACAGCCCAGACUCCUACGGGGGGCAGUAGUGGGGAAUCUGCCGCCAUGGACGAAAGUCUGACGGAGCAACGCCGCGUGAUUGAUGACGGCCUUCGGGUUGUAAAGCUCUGUUAAUCGGGACGCGGUACCGGAAUAGAAAGCCACGGCUAACUACGUGCCAGCAGCCGCGGUAAUUC
rnacentral:rRNA from 1 species